rnacentral:rRNA from 1 species
UACGUAGGGGGCUAGCGUUGUCCGGAUUUAUUGGGCGUAAAGAGCGUGUAGGCGGCCAGGUAGGUCUGCUGUGAAAACUCGAGGCUCAACCUCGAGAUGUCGGCGGAAACCAUCUGGCUAGAGUCCGGAAGAGGAAAGUGGAAUUUCUGGUGUAGCGGUGAAAUGCGCAGAUAUCAGGAAGAACACCCGUGGCGAAGGCGGCUUUCUGGGACGGUACUGACGCUGAGACGCGAAAGCCAGGGGAGCAAACGGG